UACGGAGGGGGCUAGCGUUAUUCGGAAUUAUUGGGCGUAAAGGGCGCGUAGGCGGCCCGGUAAGUCAAAGGUGAAAUCCCUCGGCUCAACUGAGGAACUGCCUUUGAAACUGUCGGGCUUGAGGCCGGGAGGGGGUAGCGGAAUUCCGGGUGUAGCGGUGAAAUGCGUAGAUAUCCGGAGGAACACCGGUGGCGAAGGCGGCUCCUGGACCGACACUGACGCUGAGGCGAACGAGCUAGGGGAGCAAACGGG
rnacentral:rRNA from 1 species